AGGCCUAACACAUGCAAGUCGAACGAGACCUUCGGGUCUAGUGGCGCACGGGUGCGUAACGCGUGGGAAUCUGCCCUUGGGUUCGGAAUAACAGCGAGAAAUUGCUGCUAAUACCGGAUGAUGACGUAAGUCCAAAGAUUUAUCGCCCAAGGAUGAGCCCGCGUAAGAUUAGGUAGUUGGUGAGGUAAAGGCUCACCAAGCCGACGAUCUUUAGCUGGUCUGAGAGGAUGAUCAGCCACACUGGGACUGAGACACGGCCCAGACUCCUACGGGAGGCAGCAGUAGGGAAUAUUGGGCAAU
rnacentral:rRNA from 1 species